AGACAGGGGGUCUGGCCAGCCAUAUGGCCAUGUUGUCGAAAGGCUCUAUUUCUUUCACUACCAGGCUGGCCACUGGCUUUGGAGGACAGUCAAAAUCCAGGGCUCUGGAAUACUCUGUACGGAGUUCAAAGGAGCAGGCAUCCCUGUGAACUCUAAGGCUGGUUGUUGCCAUGGGGAAGUGGACCGAGAUCGCUGGCUUCCAGCAAGAUAUGUACUUGAAAGUCCUAAUGAAAGCGUGU
rnacentral:lncRNA from 1 species